AAAGAUUUGGAACCUCAGAGAAACAAGUUAGAGUUAAGAAUGACUGCUUGCGAAAGACCCACAAGACGAGAAGAAAGACUGCAGCCUACUUCUUUGGAGAUUGAAAAUCAUGUGUAUGGCAGAGACAAAGACAAACAGACAAUUCUUGAUUUGCUCUUGAAGAGUGACGACGAAAGAAAUUUUGUGAUUCCCAUCGUUGGGAUGGGUGGGAUUGGUAAGACAACCCUUGCCCAGCUUGUUUACAAUGAUGCUUCCAUUCAACAUCAUUUUCACCUCAAAGCAUGGGCCUGUGUUUCUGAUUAUUUUGAUGUUCUGAGAAUAACGAAAGAAAUCUUACAAGCAAUCACUUCCGUGUCAUGCAAUGAUAAUGAUCUGAAUAUAGUUCAAGAAAAGUUACAGAAGGAGUUGUCCGGGAAAAAAUUCUUAAUUGUUUUAGAUGAUGUCUGGAAUGAGAAUUAUCAUGAUUGGACUAUCUUACAAUCUCCUUUCAAAACGAGGACUCAAGGAAGCAAAAUUAUUGUGACAACAAGAAACCACGGUGUUUCAUCAACAAUGGGUGCCUUGCAUGCUCAUUCUCUAGAGCUUUUGUCAGAUGAUGAUUGUUUGUCUGUAUUUGCGCAACAUGCAUUGGGAGCAAGGGACCUUGAAGGACAUCCAAGCCUAAAGGAAGUUGCUGAGAAGAUAGUGAGAAAAUGCAACGGUUUGCCUUUAGCUGCUAAAACCGUCGGUGGCUUAUUGCGCACUAAUGUAGACCUUCAUGCUUGGGAAGAUAUAUUAGAGAGCGAGAUAUGGAAGCUAUCUAAAGAUCAGUCAAGUAUAAUCCCAGCUCUACAGCUAAGCUACCAUCAUCUUCCUCUACAUUUGAAGCGAUGCUUUAUGUAUUGUGCCAUUAUUCCCAGUGACUAUGAGUUUGAGAAGGAAGAAAUAAUCUUGUUAUGGAGGGCACAAGGGUAUCUACAAGAAGCACGAGAUAAACAGUGCAUCCAUGAUUUGGGUCACAAGUAUUUCAACGACCUAGUGUCAAGGUCCCUUUUCCAAGUGGCCAUCAACAAUAAUUCUCGAUUUGUUAUGCAUGACCUCAUUAAUGAUUUGGCUCAAUCAGUUGCUGGAGAAGUAUGCUUUAAAAUGGAAGGUAGCCAACAAAUUUCGAAGCAUGCUCGCCAUUUAUCUUACAUUGCUGAGAGGUUUGACGGCAUCAAAAAAUUUGAAGGGAUUUAUGAAGCGCAACAUUUACGAACCUUUCUUCCAUUAAGGUUUUCUUCGGUCUUUCGAACUGAUAACUAUCUAACCAAUCAUGUCCUAACGAAUUUGUUGCCAAACUUGAGAUGCUUAAGGGCACUUUCUUUGGAAGGGUACGAAAUCAUCAUGUUGCCAGAUUUUGUCGGAGAUUUGAAACUCUUAAGGUACCUAAACUUUUCUAGGAAUAGUGUUAUUAAAUGCUUGCCGGAAUCAGUUAGUACCCUUUACAAUUUAGAAACCUUUUUAUUAAAGGGGUGUUGUAACCUUGAGAAGUUACCAUCAGGGAUGGAAAAGUUGGUCAACCUAUGCUAUCUUGAUAUCACUGGUGCAUAUAAAUUAGAAAGCAUGGCAAGCAAUUUCAGCAUGCUAACUAAUCUUCAAAAACUUUCCAGUUUUGUUUUGGGCAAAGAGAAGGGACAUAAAAUAAGGGAGCUAAUGAAUUUGUCAAAUCUCAGGGGUGAACUUUGUAUUUCAGGAUUACAGAAUAUAGCUGAGCCUCAAGAUGCAUGGAUGGCUAGAUUAUCUGAUAAGUCGAGACUUGAGAAUUUAGAAUUGCAGUGGAGCAAAGACUUUGAGAAUAGAAGAGAAGAAGUGGAGAAAAAGGUGUUGGAUGGAUUUCAACCUUCUAAGAAGCUCAGGGAGCUCAGCAUUAAGUUCUUUUGUGGUGAAAUGUUGGCAAAUUGGUUGGGAGAUUCAUCCUUCAAUUGUUUACAAUCUUUAUGCCUUGAUGAUUGUAGAAAUUUAUUGUCAUUGCCAUCAAUUGGGAAAUUGCCAUUGUUGAAAAAGGUACGUAUUAAAGGUUUGCGCAGUGUAAGGACUGUGGGAGUUGAGUUCUUUGGAGAGAAUAAGACCAACACAUUUUCUUCAUUGGAGAUUUUAGAGUUUGUGGACAUGCUUAAUUGGGAGAAGUGGAACUUGUGUGAAGUUGAUGAGGCAGCUAGGACAUUCCCUAAACUUCGUGAACUCUUUAUUGAAAAUUGUCCCUUAUUGUUAGGGAGUAUGCCGGAAUACCUCCCUUCUUUGAAGAAACUUGCAAUUCGUAGUUGCGGGAAGUUGAUAAUUUCUGUUCAAAACUUUCCAUUGCUUUCAGAAUUAGAAAUUCAUGGUUGCCACGAGGUAAUUUAUAAAGGUUUUGUAGAUUAUAGCUCUAUAAAAAGAAUCUCGUUUGUUCGGAUUUCCAAGUUUAGUUGGGCAACAGAAUGCUUGAGGUUAAGAUCAAUCAAAGUGGAAUCGUUUGAGAUUGGUGAUUGUGAGGAGUUGUGCUCUUCUCGAGAGAACAAUUGGGGAUUGCUAGCUCAGUCCAUAUCCCCCCAAGAUUUGAGAAUUGAAAAAUGUUCGCAACUUGUAUCCAUAGCAACAGAAGAGGAAAGAGAAGAAUUGAUGCAAAUGAAGAUUCCUUCUAGCAUUGUAAGAAUGACAAUAAGGAAUUGGGGAAGGCUAGAAAAACUAUCGACAACCUUGUACUCCCUCACAUUACUUAUGGAAUUAGAGCUUCACGGUUGCCCAAAAUUGAUUUCUGUUGCAAGGAGCAAUUUACCUUCGAAUCUGAAAGUGCUAAGGAUUAUUAAAUGUAAAAAUUUGCAAUGUUUAUUGUUGGAUGAAGGAAAGGAUGUUGACUCCAACAAUGCAUAUGCUCUUCAGCAGUUGGAUAUUUUCAAGUGUGAAUCUCUAGAGAGAGUAAAUAGAAGUGAGUUACCCUCCACACUGAAAGAACUUCGAAUAAGCAAGUGUGCAAAGCUAGAGUCCAUAUGCCAAGAAAUUCAAGAUAACUCUUCUCUUGAAUCUGUUGUAAUCGAUAGAUGUCAUAUGCUUAAGGGUUUACCUCAAGGAUUGAAUAAGCUCAAGCAUUGCAAGAGCAUAUGGAUAAAUAAUUGUUCAAAUUUGAUUUCCUUACGAAACAGUGGUUUGCCCACCCCAAACCUUGAAGUGCUCCGCCUCCGCUCUUGUAUACUUCUCCAAGCUUUGCCUAGGAAUAUGCACAGUCUCAACUCUCUAAAAAAUUUAGGAAUAAGGAAUUGUCCAAAUUUGACAUCCAUUCUGGAAGAGGGGAUUCCUACCAAUCUCACAUCGCUUAUAAUCGAUGGACCCAAUAUCUGGAAGGCAAUACUUGAGAGGGAUUUGCAUACACUCACUUGUCUUAAAUCUCUCUCCAUAUCAAAUGGGUGUCCAGAUGCAGUGUCAUUUCCUCAAGAUGAGAUAGAAGUCACACUGCCCUCCUCUCUCAGCCAUCUCUACAUCUCGGAUUUCCCGAAACUGGAGAAUCUAUCCUCCAAUGGCUUUCGGAACCUCACUUCUCUCCAGCACUUGACUAUCAAAAAUUGCCCAAACCUCAAGACUCUUUCGGGAAACAACAUGCUUUCUUCGCUUUUGGAGCUAAAUAUCGUGGGGUGUCCAAUGAUGGAAGAAUGGUGCAAAAGGGAUAAAGGACCUGAGUGGUCCAAAAUUACCCACAUACCUUGUGUUGCAUUUUGGAAUUAAUAGUCUGUUGAUGAUUCAGAGACAAGUUCUUUAGAGAAACAAUAAUUUAUGAAUCAAAUUUGCAGGUAUGUCAAUUUGGGUUCAGUAUAUCUCAUACAAAUUUUAUUUUAUUUAUUAUCUUUUUUACAAUUAUUGUCCUAUUCUAUAACUAGAAAAACAAAAUAUAUUGUCCCUUGGCUGGGUCAGGAAUAUUAUUAUUUUAAAAUACGAGUUAUUUUAAUAUUCACUGAAAAAUAGAAUAAUUAAUUUUUGUAAUGGUUUCUGCAUAGUUAAGUGAAGCACCAGAUGGUUUUAAUCUAAACUAUACAAUUUUGCAUGUACCAAAAAAGAAACAACAAAAUUUUGUUUUACCCUUUUUUUAUUUUUCAUCCAAGUUCUAACCAUUAAUUGAAGGACUAAACAGUUUAUGAAUGAAAGUGAGAAUCAAUAUAAUUAAUGUUAUUGUCUAGCCGGCAAUGCCUUGCUGCUGUUUAAUAUGUUUUACUUGGCACUGAUGAAGGAAUUGCAUUGCCCCUCUGAUACCGACCUACGCAUGAAUAUCCUAAUUUACAUCUCUCUUUUAGUUUCUUCUAUAUAUUGCUAUUCGGAUAUGAUGCAACUUUUAUAACACACCUUCAUAUUUUGUUCUUGCAGUUGCUCCUCUGUCAAAUGUGACAAAACAGCCUUUCCAACCAAAUGAUGCAAAACUGAUGAAGAACAAAAGAUGAUUGGUGUUAGUUUAUCAGGAAUUUGGCUGACAUCCCAAUCACAAGUAUAUUAUAAUUGGAAAUGCACCUGAAUUUAUUUGUUAUUAAGAGGAAUUUGGCUGAAAUCCGAUGAAGAGGAUGUCUGAGGUAUAUGAGAAUUUACAAAUGCAUCUGAAUUUAUUUGUAACCUUUAGAAUUUUCUAAUUAGGGAAACUUAGAUAAGCUCUCUUAUUCCUAAUUUGCUAAUUAGGAAAACUUAGAUAAACUUCCUUGGGCUUCACAUCAUUUGAUUAGUUAACAAUUAAUGAAAGCCCUUUGACCAAAACAUGCAGGACUCCUUGGGGAAAUGCAGACCUUUUCUCCAGCGAAAGAGUUGAGCUGAUUCAACUCCUAAUUUCAUAGGCUUCUGCUUGGAUGAGCUUUACAUGGGUACCCUUCCAUUGUAUCAAAAACUUGUCUUUCAUACCAUGCCUCUAAAACUGUAUAGCUAUUUACACUUUGAAUCUCUGUUUGCAGACACUUAUGACAGUGACUACAAGACUCGUGUAUGUUAGUUUUGCAUGAUCGGAUUUGUUACCAAUAGCUGUAGCUUGUGGAUCUUCGGCUUCAAAGUUUGUCUCAAUUGUUGGAAUUUCUCAAACUUUUUCCGUUAUAUUUUGGAAUAAUCACUUCUUGAUGAUAGCUAAGAUAGAGUUAUGUAUUUAUUGUGAUCAUGUAGCCACACUUUUAUAUUAUAGUGAAGUUUUGAGUGUACUCUCAAGUCCCGUGGUAUUUUCCCUUUGAUUUAAAGGGGUUUUUCACGUAAAAAUUUUGUCUCAUGUGAUUGAUGCUGUGAUUAUUCUUGGCUGCUUUGUGUUUUUCUUUUAAGAAUAUUUAGAGCUAUUUGUGCUGCGGUAAUUACCAAAAAAGAGCUGUAGUUAUGCUUGCAUCUCUUCUGUUGGGGAGCAGAGCAUUCUAUGAAAAUAAAUAAAGAAUAAAACAUCAUCAAAUACGAGAAGCUGCAAAUCGAACUUCACAUCUGAGACUGAGUUUUCUUUGAUUUACUGAUGUCUGGUAUUUGGUAUUGGUAAAGCUCAAAGUUACAUUUAAAAAGAAAGAAUGAAUACAUAAGAAGUCCUCCAUCUCCUACAAUUAUAAAAUUAAUCAUUUUCGUAAAUAUAAUUUAGUCAUAGUAUAACAUCUGUUUAAAAUAAAGUAUGUGUAACUAACUUACAGGAUAACCCUCGGUGGCUGAAUCAGUUAGUACCCUUUACAAUUUAGAAAUCUUUUUAUUAAAGGGGUGUUAUAACCCUGAGAAGUUACCGUCAGAGAUGGAAAAGUUGGUCAACCUAUGCUAUCUUGAUAUCACUGGUGCAGAUAAAUUAAAAAGCAUGGCAACCAAUUUUAGCAUGCUGACUAAUCUUCAAAAACUUCCCAGUCUUGUUUUGGGUAAAGAGAAGAGACAUAAAAUAAGGGAGCUAAUGAAUUUGUCAAAUCUCAGGGUGAACUUUUGUUGAGUCUUUUAAACAAAUCAAAGAUCAAAACAACUAAAAUUUGUGUUGAAAGAUGAAAACAGAUGCAAAAAUCGAAUGCUGAAGGAGAAAAGAAGUUGUCUUUCUCUCUUACUUCAUUAAGCAAAAUAACUUGUACAUAUAUGGUUCUAUUACAUUGGAAGAAAAAAAAGUCUUGCUUGAUUCUGGGCCUAGUCGGAACAGUGGUUUCGGGACCACAAAUCCGACGAGAGAAAAUAUGAUUAUCAUUAUAUUUUUAUGGUCUACAAUUUCACGGAAAAAUUUCAUAAAAAUUUCGUAAGAAAAUUUCGACAUUUGGGCACUCAAUUUAGUCAAAAGAACUAAAUUGUAAAAAGUGCAAAAGUUGAGUUCUACAUGUUGAAGUGUCUAAUUGUUAUGAAAUUAUAAAUUGGGGGUCCUUAUAUGGUAAUUAGACCAUUAGUUAAUUGAUGGUCAAAAAUAGAUAUAAGAAAGGGGUGAAAUAGAUUUUUUUAAAUGGGGGCAUUUUAGUCAUUUAGUAAUAAAAAGAAUUAAAAAGGGAAAAAGAUGGCAAAAUGUGCUCAUCUUCUUCAAGGUGAAUGAAAUCAGCAAGGGGGAAGCCAUAGUUAGGGUUUUUAAGCUUCCAAGCUCAAUAGUAAGUGAUUCCAAGCCCCGUUUUUAAUGUUCUUUACGUUUUUAGAGUCCCGGUAACUUAAUUUAGCUUAUUCUAGCAAUAAUUUAACCUAGGAUUUAUAUUUGGAAAAAUACCCAUAGAUGAAAAGUGUUUAUUUUGCUAUUUUAUGGUGUAAUAUGUAGCUAGAAAUUAUGUUAAACAACUUUUGCUAAGCGAUUUUAAACGAAAACGGGUAAAUUGACAUAAUCGAUAAAAAUACCUAAUGUUCAAAAGUGUGUCUUAGAGUGAGGAUUUGAUGUUGUCAUAGAAGGGAAAAAUGUUCAGCAUGUCAUAAAACAUAAGAAUAAGAGAUGAAUUUUAAUUUUCGAGCUUAGAGAUAAAAGUGUAAAUAUGUAAAAGUUUGGGGCAAAAUUGUAAUUUUUCAAAAAAGUUGGGUGGAGGGCUAUUUUAUUAAAUGUGAACAUUAAAUGAGUUAAAUUUGCUAUUAUAGAUCAAGAAAGACGAGAAUACUACCUCAAACGGGGAAAAGAGAAGAUAGUGGAGUAAAUUACAAAAUUACGAUAUUUUGCGCUGAGAUAAGUAAACAUGUGAUUUAAUGCAUUAUUUUGAUAUUAUUCAAUAUAUGUUAGGAUUUAAUAGAACAUAGAAUAAAUAUUCGGCAAGAUCUUAAAAAUGUGGUUAAGUUGGGAAAGGUGGUAAAAUGUUGAAAAUAUGGGUUUCGGUUGAACACUCGAAAUAAGCCGGAGUACAUUGAAUAUAAAGGGGGUUGCUAAGUGUUGAUUCCCCCAAGGGGUUGCUAAGUCUGAUUCUCUGACUCAUUGGUGGUUGCUAAGUGCUGAUUUCACCGUAUCUUUGAAUAUAAAGGGGGUUGCUAAGUGCUGAUUCCCCGAUUCAUUGGUGGUUGCUAAGUGCUGAUCCCAACGUAUUUUAAAUGUGAAGGGGGUUGCUAAGUGCUGAUUCCCCCAAGGGAUUGCUAAGUGCUCAUUCCCCGAAUCAUUGGUGGUUGCUAAGUGCUGAUUCCACCAUAUCUUUGAAUGUGAAAGGGGUUGCUAAGUUCUGAUUCCCUGAAUCACUGGUGGUUGCUAAGUGCUAAAUCCACCGAUAACGAUUAACAUUCUGAGUGUUCAACGAGUAAAUUGGGAAGGUGAAUAUUUAUAUGUGGUGGACAAGUUUAUGGGAGGAAUAUUGGGUUUGAUACUUAAUCAACCCAUGUAUAAGAUGGGAGGAAAUAUCAAAAAUACAAAAGAAACAAUUUAAAUACAAAACUGUUUUGAACAACAGUAGUUGGGAAACUUUGAAAAAUCACCAUAAACGGUGGAAAAUUAAUUAGAGGUUGAAUAAUAUAUGAAAUUGAAGCUGAAUGAGUCUAUUUUCAUAUGAAAGAAACAGAGAAAGCAAAAGAGUUGUAUAUUUGGGGAUAUUUGAAUUUAUUUGAGACAGGGUUGGAUUGAUUUCGAAAUCCCCUGUUCCAACUUUGGAAAAUGACCAAAAAUUGUAAAAAAAUAAUUAUGGCCUAAAAUUUAUAUUCCUGGAUUCCUUAAUGAGUCUAUUUUUAAUAGAAACAAACAAUAACAUUUUUUUAAAUUUUUUACAGGGAGUUAAUUAAAUUUUAGUAAAGGGAGGUCAGAACCAUCGGGUAGUGAAAUAGGGGAAUCUUUAAAAAAUAAACUGUAAUAAUGGGCUAAAUAAAAAAUUCUGAAAAUUUUAUGGUUGAAAUGUAUAUGAGUCUAGUUUUGGGGAAAAUUUACGGAACUUAAUUUGGAGUCUUGUAGCUCCAGAUAAAAAUAAAUUAGCAUCUGUGAUGCAGAAAGACAGUUUGCUGGAAAUUAAACGAACCUUGAAAUUUAUGUAUGAUUAAAAUUAUGUUACUAUGUAAUCAUGUGAGGAAUUUAUUUAUUUUUCAUAUGUUUACUUACUAAGCUAUAUGCUUACUCGUUUUUAUUUUCCCUUGAUUAUAGUGACAUCAGCCAGCUCGGAAUUUGGACGAAGUCAGGAAAUCAUCCACACUAUCAUCAACUUUUUGGGUAUUUUGUAAUUAAUAUUUUUGAAAUAUGGCAUGUAUAGAUGACUUUAUGUGAUGUGGUAUAAGUAUAUAUAUAGUAUUGUUCGGUUUAAUAUGUUGGUGAUUAUUAAUGGAAAAAUUAUGUCUGAACAUAUAUCUGUAAUUGGUUGGAAAUAUUGAAGUUGUUUGAAAUUGUUUUUGAAAAGUUGCAGGGAGUUUUAUGUAAAAACAAGUAGAAAUGCUGCCGAAUUUUUUAUAAAAAAUAAUUUAUAAGUGUUUGAGUUCUAGUAAUACCUCAUACUCUGUUUCGGCAAGGAACACGGGUAAGGGGUGUUACACAGAUGCUCCAGAAUAGACCCAAAACAUAACAAAUAAGUAAAACUCCAGAAGAAAUUUAGGUACCUGAAACGGAAUUUUAAAAUAAUGAAAAUAAAAGAUCUCGAUAAGUUAUGUCAAUUCGAGAAAAUAUGAAAUCGAAUAAUAAAAGUGGUCGACAAUGGUUUUGCAUGCAAUAUUAUUAUUGAAAUAAUGAAAUAAAAGGAAAAUGUUGAAUAAAUUUAUUGACAAAUAUGGAUAUGAAAUAAAUUGAUCAAAAUAAAAAGACAAAACUCAAGUACAAUUAAAUUCGUGGAGUUUUUGGACCAGAAGUCCAAAUAUCUAAAGGUAUAAAACCAAUGAGGAUUUUGCAAAAGCGAAAUAAAAAUAUGAAGUUUUUCGCUAAGCCUUGACGUUAAUUGUGAAAAGAUAUAAUAUUCUUUCGCUAAGCCCUAACAUUGAUUAUGAAAAGAUAUACUAUUCUUUUGUGGUGGAUGCAAUAACCUUUAGAUAUAUUAUUAAACUGGCAAUUCCCAAAAAAAUUAACUUGCGCCUAAUGAUUAUUGUUACAACAUUUUAUGAACCACUAUAUAGUAAAAUUUAUAUUAAAAUCGUUGAAGGAUUCCGAAUGUUAGAUGCAUAUUGAAAUUUUCGAGAAAUUGUUCAUUUAUAUGAAUUGAAAUAAUUUGAACAUAUGUGGUAAAUUUAACUUAGUGAAUAAUAGUUGAAGGAGGAUUAUAAAAUGAUCCAAAAUACUUAUUUGUGUUUUUAUAGAAGAAUCAUGAUUAAAGUUUGCUAUGAUUAUUGUUAAAUCUUUUGAAGAAAUCAAAACAUAUUUCUCCUAAAUUUUCCCUCACUCAUGACUUUCAAAAGAAUAGUAAUAUAAAUGCUUAGCAAAUACAUUCAAAUAGUCAUUUGAAAAACUAAUAUUCAAGAUUGAAUACAUAGAAUAUAAGAAAGUAUGUGAUGUUUUCAUGAGGGGGAGUAAAUACGAAUUGCACUCUUUUUCCCUUAACCAAGGUUUUGCCCCAUUGAGUUUUUUUGGUAAGGUUUUUAAUGAGGCAACAUGUUAUGUGUAUUAUAGGUAUGUGUACUCCUUUUCCUUCACUAGGAAUUUUUUUCCAUAGUGUUUUUAUCUUAGUAAAGGUUUUAAUGAGGUACAUUAUCAACCAAGGAAUCCAAUGGUGAGUGUUAUGAAUAUCUUAUUAAGUGGAUGUCCAUCAAGAUCAAGAUAAAUUUUUAUCUACUUAAAAUUCUAAUAGUCAUUAUUAGAUUAGAAUUAGAUCUCAACUUCGUUUAUACUUUUUAUGCCUAUAAAUAUAGACUUUGGAGAAGCAUUAUAAAUAUUCCUAUUGAUCAAUAAGAUACACUCUCUUUUGCUCUCCCCAUUUUCUUUGUUCUUCUCUCAAUCUCUCUUUAUUUUAUAACAAGAUUUAGUUUAUGUAGUUAAAAAGCUAAAAAUUAAGUAUAUAUUUUUUAUAUUGAUAUUAUUAAUAUUUUCAUUAAAAUUUGUUAACUUAACUUGUUGAUUAAGUUAUCUUUAUAUGAUACAUAUGAUUGAAAUAAACAUAUCAAAUUAAUAAAUUUUGAUAAAAAUAUUAAAAAUAUUAAUGAUUAACUUAAAAUUUUUAAAUAAACAGAACAUUUUAACGUUUCAAAUAUUGUAUCUAAAUCUCAAAUUUUACCAAAAAUAAUGAAUUAAAUUAACAUCAUCAAGUAAAUUUUAGUUUACAUCAAUUCAUUCAAAUUGCAGCAGUUUAUUCAACGAUAAUUCAUAAGGUUUAAAAUGAAAACUUAACUAUAAAGAUGAUUUCUAAAUAAAAUAGAUAGACCUUUCUCUUAGUCUCAAGUCGAUGGAUCUUCUCAACUGGAGAAUUCUCUAUAUAGAUAAUAUAUGGAUAAUACACAUUCUAGUUGACUGAGCUUAAUUCUAUUCUAAUUUUUUUUGUUCCGAAGCAAAAAUAUCCAUGGGGCGAUUCGCCCUAUUCAAAUAUUCACGAUCGAGAAAUACUGAAUUCUCUUUCAGAUAAGUUUUUCGUUUAUGAAAAUAAAAUAUAUUUUAUAAUCAAUCAUUUAUUUUAAAAUAAAAGAUAUCAACUACCUUAAUUUCGAAAAAACAAAGUUAAUUGUAAAUUUGCCAAGUAUCACGGUCUCUUGUGAGAAGUAAAUAAUUAUCUUACAUUGUCAACUUUUGAGAGUGGGCCGAUGGGUGGCAAUUAUUACGAACGUUUUGAAGUCUGUUCUCAUUAUAAAUGUCCCGUUUAACAUUCCGCCAACCUUAACUGUCUGCUUCCCACUGUUAAGGGUAGAAAUUACGACGAAAAGAGCUGGCAUUUUCUUUAGAAAUUAUUGUGUAGGAAGAUUCGAAAAUCAAGAGGUAAAAGCAAGAUAGCAAACUUCAUUCACUUCCCUCUACCUUCGCUCAACACUCUUUUCUCAACCUUUCUCUACUCUUAUUCCUUGCAAGAUGGCAACCAAGCUUUUUCUUGAUGCCUUGUCCGCUAUAAAAGAAGUUUUUGUCUCCAAGUUCGUUGACUUUUCCCUUGAGAAGCUGGCCUCAUCCGACCUCCUGCAAUUCGCUGCUCAAAAAAAGGUUCUUGAGGAGAUCCAGAACUUGGAGAAGGAACUGAAGCAGAUCCGUAGGGUGCUUGAUGAUGCUGAAGAGAGACAGAUGAAAGAGCAGCUGGUGAAAGACUGGUUGAUCGACCUCCAAAACUUGGCAUUCGAUGUGGAGGAUGUUUUGGACGAGUUUGCAACCGAAAUUGGCAGGCGCAAUCUGAUGAUGGAACGUCGAGGCAGCUCAAGUAAGAGAUCCAGACUCAAUAUUCCUCAUUCAUUCAAUGAUGUUCUGUUUAACAGAGAUAUAAUGUUCAAGAUAAGGGAUCUUACUGCCAAAUUGAAAGAUUUGGAACCUCAGAGAAACAAGUUAGAGUUGCGAAUGACUGAUUGGGAAAGACCCACAAGACUAGAAGAAAGACUGCAGCCUACUUCUUUGGAGAUUGAAAAUCAUGUGUACGGCAGAGACAAAGACAAACUGACAAUUCUUGAUUUGAUCUUGAAGAGUGAUGACGAAAGAAAAUUUGUGAUUCCCAUCGUUGGGAUGGGUGGGAUUGGUAAGACAACCCUUGCCCAGCUUGUUUACCAUGAUGCUUCCAUUCAACAUCAUUUUCACCUCAAAGCAUGGGCUUGUGUUUCUGAUUAUUUUGAUGUUUUGAGAAUAACGAAAGAAAUCUUGCAAGCAAUCA
rnacentral:lncRNA from 1 species